rnacentral:rRNA from 1 species
UAGUCAUACGCUUGUCUCAAAGAUUAAGCCAUGCAUGUCUAAGUAUAAACAAUUUUGUACCGUGAAACUGCGAAUGGCUCAUUAUAUCAGUUAUAGUCUACUCGAUAGUACCUUACUACUUGGAUAACCGUAGUAAUUCUAGAGCUAAUACAUGCAUUGAUACCUAACUGCUUGUCGGAAGGGUAGCAUUUAUUAGAUUGAAACCAAUGCAGUCUUCGGGCUGGUAUUGUGUUGAAUCAUAAUAACUGUGCGGAUCGCACUUUUGUGCGAUAAAUCG